GAUGAACGCUGGCGGCGUGCCUAAUACAUGCAAGUCGAGCGAACGGACGAGAAGCUUGCUUCUCUGAUGUUAGCGGCGGACGGGUGAGUAACACGUGGAUAACCUACCUAUAAGACUGGGAUAACUUCGGGAAACCGUAGCUAAUACCGGAUAAUAUUUUGAACCGCAUGGUUCAAAAGUGAAAGACGGUCUUGCUGUCACUUAUAGAUGGAUCCGCGCUGCAUUAGCUAGUUGGUAAGGUAACGGCUUACCAAGGCAACGAUACAUAGCCGACCUGAGAGGUGGUUCGCCCACACGGGAACGUGACCACGUCCCAGCCUCCGAGGGGAGCCACCGGAGGGGAUCUUCCCGCAAGGGGCGAAAGCCGGACGGAGCAACCCGGGGUGGGUGAGAAGGGUUUUGGGAUCUAAAAACUUUUUUAUGGGGAAAAAAAAUAUGUUUAAGAACCUGGGCACUUUUUGACGUUACCUAAUAAAAAAGCCCCGCCUAACUCCGUC
rnacentral:rRNA from 1 species